rnacentral:rRNA from 1 species
GCUGUGUGAAGAAGGCCCUCGGGUUGUAAAGCACUUUCAGUGGGGAAGGAAUUCUCAAGGCUAAUACCCUUUUGAGCGUUGACGUUACCCACAGAAGAAGCACUGGCUAACUCUGUGCCAGCAGCCGCGGUAAUACAGAGAGUGCAAGCGUUAAUCGGAAUCACUGGGCGUAAAGCGCGCGUAGGUGGAUAUUUAAGUCGGAUGUGAAAGCCCUAGGCUUAACCUGGGAAUUACAUCCGAUACUAGGUAUCUCGAGUAUGAUAGAGGGAAGUGGAAUUUCCGGUGUAGCGGUGAAAUGCGUAGAUAUCGGAAAGAACAUCAGUGGCGAAGGCGGCUUCCUGGAGCAAUACUGACACUGAGGCGCGAAAGCGUGGGGAGCAAACAGGAUUAGAGACCCUGGUAGUCCACGCCGUCAACGAUGAGAACUAGCUGUUGGAAAGUUUACUUUCUAGUAGCAAAGCUAACGCGUUAAGUUCUCCGCCUGGGGAGUACGGCCGCAAGGUUAAAACUCAAAGAAAUUGACGGGGGCCCGCACAAGCGGUGGAGCAUGUGGUUUAAUUCGAUGCAACACGAAAAACCUUACCUACCCUUGACAUCCUCGGAACUUGUCAG